UACGGGAGGCAGCAGUGGGGAAUAUUGCACAAUGGGCGCAAGCCUGAUGCAGCCAUGCCGCGUGUAUGAAGAAGGCCUUCGGGUUGUAAAGUACUUUCAGUCGUGAGGAAGGUGUUAAGGUUAAUAACCUUAGCAAUUGACGUUAGCGACAGAAGAAGCACCGGCUAACUCCGUGCCAGCAGCCGCGGUAAUACGGAGGGUGCGAGCGUUAAUCGGAAUUACUGGGCGUAAAGGGCACGCAGGCGGUUAAUUAAGUUGGAUGUGAAAUCCCCGGGCUUAACCUGGGAAUGGCAUUCAAGACUGGUUAGCUAGAGUCUUGUAGAGGGGGUAGAAUUCCAUGUGUAGCGGUGAAAUGCGUAGAGAUGUGGAGGAAUACCGGGUGGCGAAGGCGGCCCCUGGACAAAGGCUGACGCUCAUGUGCGAAAGCGUGGGGAGCAAACG
rnacentral:rRNA from 1 species